UUUAUGGAGAGUUUGAUCCUGGCUCAGGAUGAACGCUGGCGGCGUGCCUAAUACAUGCAAGUCGAGCGAACGGACGAGAAGCUUGCUUCUCUGAUGUUAGCGGCGGACGGGUGAGUAACACGUGGAUAACCUACCUAUAAGACUGGGAUAACUUCGGGAAACCGGAGCUAAUACCGGAUAAUAUUUUGAACCGCAUGGUUCAAAAGUGAAAGACGGUCUUGCUGUCACUUAUAGAUGGAUCCGCGCUGCAUUAGCUAGUUGGUAAGGUAACGGCUUACCAAGGCAACGAUGCAUAGCCGACCUGAGAGGGUGAUCGGCCACACUGGAACUGAGACACGGUCCAGACUCCUACGGGAGGCAGCAGUAGGGAAUCUUCCGCAAUGGGCGAAAGCCUGACGGAGCAACGCCGCGUGAGUGAUGAAGGUCUUCGGAUCGUAAAACUCUGUUAUUAGGGAAGAACAUAUGUGUAAG
rnacentral:rRNA from 1 species